UGGCCAGAGAAUUGUCGAGAGAAAGGC
rnacentral:piRNA from 1 species